rnacentral:rRNA from 1 species
GGUUAAGCGACUAAGCGUACACGGUGGAUGCCCUGGCAGUCAGAGGCGAUGAAGGACGUGCUAAUCUGCGAAAAGCGCCGGCGAGGUGAUAUGAACCUUUGACCCGGCGAUGUCCGAAUGGGGAAACCCAGUGCAAUUCGUUGCACUAUCGUUAACUGAAUACAUAGGUUAACGAGGCGAACCGGGGGAACUGAAACAUCUAAGUACCCCGAGGAAAAGAAAUCAACCGAGAUUCCCCCAGUAGCGGCGAGCGAACGGGGAGCAGCCCAGAGUCUGAAUCAGCUUGUGUGUUAGUGGAAGCGUCUGGAAAGUCGCACGGUACAGGGUGACAGUCCCGUACACGAAAGCACACAGGUUGUGAACUCGAAGAGUAGGGCGGGACACGUGGUAUCCUGUCUGAAUAUGGGGGGACCAUCCUCCAAGGCUAAAUACUCCUGACUGACCGAUAGUGAACCAGUACCGUGAGGGAAAGGCGAAAAGAACCCCGGCGAGGGGAGUGAAAAAGAACCUGAAACCGUGUACGUACAAGCAGUGGGAGCACCUUCGUGGUGUGACUGCGUACCUUUUGUAUAAUGGGUCAGCGACUUAUAUUCUGUAGCAAGGUUAACCGUAUAGGGGAGCCGAAGGGAAACCGAGUCUUAACUGGGCGUUAAGUUGCAGGGUAUAGACCCGAAACCCGGUGAUCUAGCCAUGGGCAGGUUGAAGGUUGGGUAACACUAACUGGAGGACCGAACCGACUAAUGUUGAAAAAUUAGCGGAUGACUUGUGGCUGGGGGUGAAAGGCCAAUCAAACCGGGAGAUAGCUGGUUCUCCCCGAAAGCUAUUUAGGUAGCGCCUCGUGAACUCAUCUUCGGGGGUAGAGCACUGUUUCGGCUAGGGGGCCAUCCCGGCUUACCAACCCGAUGCAAACUACGAAUACCGAAGAAUGUUAUCACGGGAGACACACGGCGGGUGCUAACGUCCGUCGUGAAGAGGGAAACAACCCAGACCGCCAGCUAAGGUCCCAAAGUCAUGGUUAAGUGGGAAACGAUGUGGGAAGGCACAGACAGCCAGGAUGUUGGCUUAGAAGCAGCCAUCAUUUAAAGAAAGCGUAAUAGCUCACUGGUCGAGUCGGCCUGCGCGGAAGAUGUAACGGGGCUAAACCAUGCACCGAAGCUGCGGCAGCGACGCGUAUGCGUUGUUGGGUAGGGGAGCGUUCUGUAAGCCGUUGAAGGUGUGCUGUGAGGCAUGCUGGAGGUAUCAGAAGUGCGAAUGCUGACAUAAGUAACGAUAAAGCGGGUGAAAAGCCCGCUCGCCGGAAGACCAAGGGUUCCUGUCCAACGUUAAUCGGGGCAGGGUGAGUCGACCCCUAAGGCGAGGCCGAAAGGCGUAGUCGAUGGGAAACAGGUUAAUAUUCCUGUACUUGGUGUUACUGCGAAGGGGGGACGGAGAAGGCUAUGUUAGCCGGGCGACGGUUGUCCCGGUUUAAGCAUGUAGGCGGAGGUUCCAGGUAAAUCCGGUACCUUUUAACGCUGAGGUGUGAUGACGAGGCACUACGGUGCUGAAGUAACAAAUGCCCUGCUUCCAGGAAAAGCCUCUAAGCAUCAGGUAACACGAAAUCGUACCCCAAACCGACACAGGUGGUCAGGUAGAGAAUACCAAGGCGCUUGAGAGAACUCGGGUGAAGGAACUAGGCAAAAUGGUGCCGUAACUUCGGGAGAAGGCACGCUGAUAUGUAGGUGAAGCCCCUGCGGGUGGAGCUGAAAUCAGUCGAAGAUACCAGCUGGCUGCAACUGUUUAUUAAAAACACAGCACUGUGCAAACACGAAAGUGGACGUAUACGGUGUGACGCCUGCCCGGUGCCGGAAGGUUAAUUGAUGGGGUUAGCGGUAACGCGAAGCUCUUGAUCGAAGCCCCGGUAAACGGCGGCCGUAACUAUAACGGUCCUAAGGUAGCGAAAUUCCUUGUCGGGUAAGUUCCGACCUGCACGAAUGGCGUAAUGAUGGCCAGGCUGUCUCCACCCGAGACUCAGUGAAAUUGAACUCGCUGUGAAGAUGCAGUGUACCCGCGGCAAGACGGAAAGACCCCGUGAACCUUUACUAUAGCUUGACACUGAACACUGGUCCUUGAUGUGUAGGAUAGGUGGGAGGCUUUGAAGCGUGGACGCCAGUCUGCGUGGAGCCGUCCUUGAAAUACCACCCUUUAAUGGCUGGUGUUCUAACGUAGACCCGUAAUCCGGGUUGCGGACAGUGUCUGGUGGGUAGUUUGACUGGGGCGGUCUCCUCCCAAAGAGUAACGGAGGAGCACGAAGGUUAGCUAAUCCUGGUCGGACAUCAGGAGGUUAGUGCAAUGGCAUAAGCUAGCUUGACUGCGAGAGUGACGGCUCGAGCAGGUGCGAAAGCAGGUCAUAGUGAUCCGGUGGUUCUGAAUGGAAGGGCCAUCGCUCAACGGAUAAAAGGUACUCCGGGGAUAACAGGCUGAUACCGCCCAAGAGUUCAUAUCGACGGCGGUGUUUGGCACCUCGAUGUCGGCUCAUCACAUCCUGGGGCUGAAGUAGGUCCCAAGGGUAUGGCUGUUCGCCAUUUAAAGUGGUACGCGAGCUGGGUUUAGAACGUCGUGAGACAGUUCGGUCCCUAUCUGCCGUGGGCGCUGGAGAAUUGAGGGGGGCUGCUCCUAGUACGAGAGGACCGGAGUGGACGCAUCACUGGUGUUCGGGUUGUCAUGCCAAUGGCACUGCCCGGUAGCUAAAUGCGGAAAAGAUAAGUGCUGAAAGCAUCUAAGCACGAAACUUGCCCCGAGAUGAGUUCUCCCUGACCCUUUAAGGGUCCUGAAGGAACGUUGAAGACGACGACGUUGAUAGGUCGGGUGUGUAAGCGCAGCGAUGCGUUGAGCUAACCGAUACUAAUGAACCGUGAGGCUUAACCUU